ensembl:lncRNA
CUAUUAAUGGCUGCUUUCAAGAUUCUCUGUGAAGUUGAAUUAGGAAACAUUAGCCAAGUGCUUUGAAGGGGAAAAUGUUUUAUUAGUUCCUUCUCUGCCAAGCAACCCUUUACUGAUGUUCCUCUUCUGAGCUCCUCGGGGGUUUUGGUAGUGAUUGAGUGGUAGAUCUUGUCACUUGUAAACUGGAGGCACGGAGCAUUUACUCCUAACUUUUGGUUAGGAGCGGUUAGAAGUGCAACUUUUCCUAGAACAUGACCUUACUGAGAAAACCUCAUCUGUGGUCCCGGUCCCCAUAAAUGGUCCUAAGAGGGAGCAUGUUUACGGCUCUGGUUUACUUCAUCUGGGAUUGUUGCCACGGAGGGCCAGAAAUCAAGCAUGACAUGAAGAAAGAAACACUUCUGGGAACCUCACAUGCCUGGCCGCCCUGUUUCAGGACACUCAGAAACUAGGGUUGUAAUUCCACACAUACAUUUCCCGCCCUGUGGAG